GUGCCUAUAGCUUAACGGUCAAAGCGCUGCUCUGUGGCAGCAGAUAUGAGGGUUCAAUUCCCUUUAGGCACCCCA
rnacentral:tRNA from 1 species